rnacentral:rRNA from 1 species
UACGGAGGGCGCAAGCGUUGUUCGGAAUCACUGGGCGUAAAGCGCGUGCAGGCGGCUUGGCAAGUCGGGUGUGAAAGCCCGGGGCCCAACCCCGGAACGGCAUCCGAAACUGCCUCGCUCGAGUCCCGGAGAGGGUGGCGGAAUUUCCGGUGUAGAGGUGAAAUUCGUAGAUAUCGGAAGGAACACCAGUGGCGAAGGCGGCCACCUGGACGGUGACUGACGCUGAGACGCGAAAGCGUGGGGAGCAAACAGG